GCCAGUGACGAUACUACAUUGAACGCACUAGUUCCUCCAUGGAUCACUGAAGUUAAGCAAACGUUGGGCGUGGUUAUGAUCCGGAUGGGUGACCAUCUGGGUAAUCGCGUGUUGUUUCUC
rnacentral:rRNA from 1 species